rnacentral:rRNA from 1 species
AACGAACGCUGGCGGCAGGCCUAACACAUGCAAGUCGAACGCUCGUAGCAAUACGAGAGUGGCAGACGGGUGAGUAACACGUGGGAACCUUCCCUAUGGUUCGGAAUAGCUCAGGGAAACUUGAGGUAAUACCGGAUAAGCCCUUCGGGGAAAGAUUUAUCGCCAUUGGAUGGGCCCGCGUCGGAUUAGCUAGUUGGUGAGGUAACGGCUCACCAAGGCGACGAUCCGUAGCUGGUCNGAGAGGAUGAUCAGCCACACUGGGACUGAGACACGGCCCAGACUCCUACGGGAGGCAGCAGUGGGGAAUUUUGGACAAUGGGCGCAAGCCUGAUCCAGCCAUGCCGCGUGCGGGAAGAAGGCC